UUCUCACCACUGGACAUCUCUGAUAAAAUAAUUCCUGCUGAAGGCUGCUUUGUCUUCAUCUGCGCAUGUGGAGUUGCUGCAAAGCUUUCAUCUGAAGAUUGAAAACCUUAUGGUGUUACUGAAAGAUUCCCUGAGUAAAAAAGAAAUGUGUAGAUGCAACCAGGACUGAACGUUUCCUCCCCAGAAACGUGGAGCUGGGCUUAAGGGGUAUAGGCUGCUUGAAAACUGGAAGAAAUGCGCAGCACGGAGAAGACGGCAGCAACAAUCCUGUCCCAUCCCAUUUUCCUCUUCCAGGCGGGCUACCAGCUUCACAGGAAGUCAUAUAUUGCUGAAGAGCUCUGGAUCCACUUCUUCCAUUGCCCAGUCCAGCAGGUCAUCAAAGCAGAGCUUCUAGUCCUGCUCCGACUCCUGUAUUAACCAGAAGACACCAAGAAACAGAGAGCCUGCCAAUUCCCUUUGCUGAUUGUCCUUAUCCCAGUACUCUGCUGUCCUCCUGGCAUUUGAUGUGGUAAGAGGGACCUCAAUUCAGUCUUCCUGGCUGGCAUUUCCUGUGUGACCGAGCCAUGGGGAGUGGUGGGAGACAUGGCCAUGUGAGAGGAACAACCUGAGUACAGUGGUCAGAAUGGAUUUCUGUGUUGGCAAGCAUAUUUUGGAAGGAAGAGAAGUGCUAUUACCUUAUCAGCAAAUCAUUCCAACAGGCAUUUUAAUCACCUGCUGCAGAGGAUAAAGUGAGCUAUGGGGAAAGCUGCUGAGGUGGUGGUGUCUGGGUGAACCAAGGCUGACAGCUUCAUACAGUGAGUGUGUUCUGUCUGGCAUCUGGAUCAUGUUUGGUGCACCUGUAGAACCCUUUGAAACCUAGCAUCUUAUUUUCCUGACACAUGGAAAAACUAGAUCCUGAAGGAGGGACAACAAGCAAACCAAAUCAAAACAUACUUUCCCAAAAUAUGCAUAAACUUUCCCUUCCAGUAAGAAAAUACCCAAAGGACAUUGGAUCUCAGCAAUGAAUCCAAGCCUUAAGAAGCAGGAUGCAUAAAACAAACAAGACUGCCAAGGUCAGCCACAUGCUUCUGGUGCCUUCAUCCUUGGAGGAAAUUCCAGGGCCACCAGGAAAUUCCAUGUUCCUGUGACAUUUCAGAAACACAUCAGGAGGAGGGGAGCAAGGACCUUUGCCCUUGGUCUUGCUUGGAUGGAUGAGUGCCACCCAGUCUGCUGUCUCCAGAGCUGAACAGGUGCAGUUCCUACACAAGUGGGGCCUACUCUGUUUUUGUCUAAAUAAGGGUGGGGAGUGUUUUUGAGCUGGGGUUCAUUACUGUACUGGCUAAAAUAAAAACAAAGCUGUGCUUUCCCUUUUUCAAAGCACACUGCAGGCCUUCUUCAA